GAUGAACGCUGGCGGUAUGCCUAAUACAUGCAAGUCGAACGCAUUCUCGUUUUAGAUUGACGGUGCUUGCACCAGAUUGAAAAGACAUUUGAAUGAGUGGCGGACGGGUGAGUAACACGUGGGUAACCUGCCCAAAAGUGGGGGAUAACAUUUGGAAACAAAUGCUAAUACCGCAUAAAAGUUAGAACCGCAUGGUUCUAAUUUGAAAGAUGGUUUCGGCUAUCACUUUUGGAUGGACCCGCGGCGUAUUAGUUAGUUGGUGAGGUAAUGGCUCACCAAGACAAUGAUACGUAGCCGAACUGAGAGGUUGAUCGGCCACAAUGGGACUGAGACACGGCCCAUACUCCUACGGGAGGCAGCAGUAGGGAAUCUUCCACAAUGGGCGCAAGCCUGAUGGAGCAAUACCGCGUGAGUGAAGAAGGGUUUCGGCUCGUAAAACUCUGUUGUUGGAGAAGAACGUAUGUGAUAGUAACUGAUCAUGUAGUGACGGUAUCCAACC
rnacentral:rRNA from 1 species